rnacentral:rRNA from 1 species
GACGAACGCUGGCGGCGUGCUUAACACAUGCAAGUCGAACGAAGAGCGAUGGAAGCUUGCUUCUAUCAAUCUUAGUGGCGAACGGGUGAGUAACGCGUAAUCAACCUGCCCUUCAGAGGGGGACAACAGUUGGAAACGACUGCUAAUACCGCAUACGAUCUAAUCUCGGCAUCGAGGAUAGAUGAAAGGUGGCCUCUACAUGUAAGCUAUCACUGAAGGAGGGGAUUGCGUCUGAUUAGCUAGUUGGAGGGGUAACGGCCCACCAAGGCGAUGAUCAGUAGCCGGUCUGAGAGGAUGAACGGCCACAUUGGGACUGAGACACGGCCCAGACUCCUACGGGAGGCAGCAGUGGGGAAUCUUCCGCAAUGGACGAAAGUCUGACGGAGCAACGCCGCGUGAGUGAUGACGGCCUUCGGGUUGUAAAGCUCUGUUAAUCGGGGCGAAAGGCCUUCUUGCGAAUAGUUAGAAGGAUUGACG